rnacentral:misc_RNA from 1 species
GAUGAAGAACGUAGCGAAAUGCGAUAAGUAAUGUGAAUUGCAGAAUUCAGUGAAUCAUCGAAUCUUUGAACGCACAUAGCGCCCGCCAGUAUUCUGGCGGGCAUGCCUGUUCGAGCGUCAUUACAACCCUCAGGCCCCCGGGCCUGGCGUUGGGGAUCGGCGGAGCCCCCCGUGGGCACACGCCGUCCCCCAAAUACAGUGGCGGUCCCGCCGCAGCUUCCAUCGCGUAGUAGCUAACACCUCGCGACUGGAGAGCGGCGCGGCCACGCCGUAAAACACCCAACUCUUCUGAAGUUGACCUCGAAUCAGGUAGGAAUACCCGCUGAACUUAAGCAUAUCAAUAAGCGGAGGA